rnacentral:rRNA from 1 species
GACGAACGCUGGCGGCGUGCUUAACACAUGCAAGUCGAACGGAAAGGCCCUGCUUUUGUGGGGUGCUCGAGUGGCGAACGGGUGAGUAACACGUGAGUAACCUGCCCUUGACUUUUGUAUAACUUCAGGAAACUGGGGCUAAUACCGGAUAGGAGCUCCUGCUGCAUGGUGGGGGUUGGAAAGUUUCGGCGGUUGGGGAUGGACUCGCGGCUUAUCAGCUUGUUGGUGGGGUAGUGGCUUACCAAGGCUUUGACGGGUAGCCGGCCUGAGAGGGUGACCGGCCACAUUGGGAAUGAGAUACGGCCCAGACUCCUACGGGAGGCAGCAGUGGGGAAUAUUGCACAAUGGGCGGAAGCCUGAUGCAGCAACGCCGCGUGCGGGAUGACGGCCUUCGGGUUGUAAACCGCUUUCGCCUGUGACGAAGCGUGAGUGACGGUAAUGGGUAAAGAAGCACCGGCUAACUACGUG